GCGCCGGUGGCGAAAUUGGCAGACGCGAUAGGUUGAGGGCCUAUUGACCUUUAACAAGUCGUAGAGGUUCAAGUCCUCUCCGGCGCACCA
rnacentral:tRNA from 1 species